CCUACGGGUGGCAGCAGUGAGGAAUAUUGGUCAAGGGGCGCGAGCCUGAACCAGCCAAGUAGCGUGAAGGAUGACUGCCCUACGGGUUGUAAACUUCUUUUAUAAAGGAAUAAAGUGAGGCACGUGUGCCGGUUUGGAUGUACUUGAUGAAUAAGGAUCGGCUAACUCCGUGCCAGCAGCCGCGGUAAUACGGAGGAGGCGAGCGUUAUCCGGAUUUAUUGGGUUUAAAGGGAGCGUAGAUGGGUUGUUCAGUCAGUGGUGAAAGGCUGCGGCUCAACCGUAAAAUUGCAAUUGAUACUGGCAGUCUUGCGUACAGUUGCGGUAGGCGGAAUUCGUGGUGUAGCGGU
rnacentral:rRNA from 1 species